AAGUGAAGAGAAGAAUCUGACU
rnacentral:miRNA from 1 species